CUCCUUCGGGGAAACUCAGGGAGGUUCUGAGAAGCUUCCAAGACAAUGGGCCUGUGGGUGUGGCUCAGAGCGCAGCGUGCACUUUAGCACGUACAGAACCCUGGCUUCCCAUCCCAGCACCACGUAAGCGUGGCAUUGGGUCCACACCUCUAGUCACAGCGCUGAUGAGGUAGAGGCAGGAGGAUCAGAAAUCCCAGGUCAUCCUCAGCUACUUAUCAAGUUUAAGACCUGCCUGGGGGGCCCGAGGCCCUGUUUAAUCUUAAAAUCCCAGCACUCCGGAGGUUGAGGCAGAUCAUCAUAAAUUCAAGGACAGCAAGGAUUACAGAACACCAAACCUAAUGACACACCCAAAUCUCAGUCAUGAGGACACUGCAUCUCCCUGCUAUCGUGAUGACUAAAGUUGGACUUAGAAACACCUCGGAGACACACCUCCUGACAUGCCUGGGAUGGAGUUUCUACACUGGAUUAACCGAGGGGAAGAUCCACAUUGAAAAUAUGGGUGGGGGCAACCCAUGGGCUGGGGUUCUGGACUGUAGAUGCAAUGUGACAAUCUGCUGCACAUCCGGCUGAACAGUCUGUCCCAUGUGGGAGCAUGAUUAACCCUUCCUGCCUGAAUUGCAUUUGUCAAGCAGUGAGGGAGGGGCUGGGUCCUAACAGAGUGGAAAGAGAGUGCCUGAGGUUGAAAACCUUGCCUUUAAAUUA